GUAACAGUUACAAUAGGAGUGAUAUUUUAAAAGGCAUGAGUUGUUUUAAUUCUUCUUUCAAAAAAUUGAAAUAAUUUCAAGACCUUUCAAUCCUUCCAUAGACCUUCUUCAAUCUCCACUGUCAACUUUCUUUUCUUCCUAUUUGAAAGCAAAACGUAUGGCCAAGAUAUGUCCAGCAGUGGAGAGAAAUAGCAAAGAUGAUAUACUUAUCAGUAGGAGAGGGGUUAUAGGACUUGAGAGACUCUGGUGUUCAUUUGAAGAGUUAAACCUUCUGGAGAAGAUUCUGAUCACCAAGCAUCGAUGACCAACAAUUGCCAGUGAGACCAGAUUUGGAUUUUGUGAGAUAACUAACAGUUAUUUGAAGGAAGAAGAGGAAGGACAGUUUUCCUAGAAUUCAGACUCCUUGUUUCUAUGCAGCCAGGAUUGCUCAGCUAUAAUUUGCAGAGGAAAAGAGGCAAUCUGCACAGCAUCUGUUGGAAGGAGGUUGUAUAGCGACAUUGCCCUCCUCGCUCCCGCCGUCGGAGUCCCAGGAAGAAGGCGUGCUGCUCUCGGACUUCAUGCUGGAGGUAGUGCUCAG